UACGAAGGGGGCUAGCGUUGCUCGGAAUCACUGGGCGUAAAGCGCACGUAGGCGGAUCUUUAAAGUCAGGGGUGAAAUCCUGGAGCUCAACUCCAGAACUGCCUUUGAUACUGGGGAUCUCGAGUCCGGAAGAGGUGAGUGGAACUCCGAGUGUAGAGGUGAAAUUCGUAGAUAUUCGGAAGAACACCAGUGGCGAAGGCGGCUCACUGGUCCGGUACUGACGCUGAGGUGCGAAAGCGUGGGGAGCAAACAGG
rnacentral:rRNA from 1 species